AGUGAACGCUGGCGGCAGGCCUAACACAUGCAAGUCGAGCGGAUGAAGGGUACGUGCUCCUUGAUUCAGCGGCCGACGGGUGGGUAAGUGCUAGAAAUCUGCCAGUCUGUUGGUUCUAGCGUGCUAAAACAGGCGCUAAUACGCCAUUCGUCCUUACGGAGAACGUGGGGGAUCAGCGGACCUUCCGCUCUCACAUGAGCCUAUGUGGCGAUGUCGGAUUAGCUAGUUGGUGGGGUAAAGGCCUACCAAGGCGACGAUCCGUAGCUGGUCUGAGAGGAUGAUCAGUCACACUGGAACUGAGACACGGUCCAGACUCCUACGGGAGGCAGCAGUGGGGAAUAUUGGACAAUGGGCGCAAGCCUGAUCCAGCCAUGCCGCGUGUGUGAAGAAGGUCUUCGGAUUGUAAAGCACUUUUGGUUGGGAGGAAGGGCAGUAAGUUAAUACCUUGCUGUUUUGACGGUACCCACAGAAUAAGCACCGGCUAACUUCGUG
rnacentral:rRNA from 1 species